GGUUUGGUGGUUCAGUGGUAGAAUUCUCACCUUCCAUGUGGGAGACUCAGGUGCAAUUCCCACCCAGCCA
rnacentral:tRNA from 1 species